GCCUGGGUAGCUCAGUCAGUACAGCAUGAGACUCUUAAUCUCACGGUCAUGGGUUUGAAUCUCAUCCUGGGGA